UAUAGUUCCUGACCUAGCAAAGAGAAACUUUUCCUACUGUCAGGGCAAUUCUAGUAUAGUUACAUCUCUAUAAUUCACUAUGGGAAAAUUUAUUGCUGGACAGAAUAUGCCAAUGAAAAGUUAGAUGUCUAAAAUAACAACAGGAUGUUUAGAGCAUAUUAGUUCUACAAGGGAGGGCAUUAAACAGAAAUGUAACCAAAGAGCUGUUCUGUAGUUACUUGCUACAAACAAAUUCUUACUCCACACCAAAACACCAGAUAGCUCAUUGCAAGCGACUUUUACCAUCUUUAAUCUACCACCAUUUUGGCUUAUAAAAAGAAGUCAUCAUUUAUUUCUCUCUUUCACAGUAAGCCAUCUCUCAUUUAACAUGUGGUAAGAGUUUACAUGUGGACACUAUAACAAAGUUACAGGUGUGCUCUCAAGUUCACAUUGUCGUCCACUUUACAGGAAAUGAUUGUUUUCUGAUACCUAAAACAGAGGAGUCACUUGGCCACUUCUGUAAAAAGUGGUGGCCAAUCAAAGGCAGUUGCAAAAACUCUAAUCUAGAAAGCUGCUGCAGAAUAGAGUUAAUGGCUGUUGUUGAACCUGAAGAAGAAAGUAGACCAGGCAGGGAGCCUUGUUAAGAACACGAUCUUGGACAGUUGGUGGUUAAAGUUCAGUCCUCGAGAUUGAAUGGAGAUGGGUUACCCUUUUCUUUUUUUUUUGAGGAUGAUUGCAAUUAAGGGACCUUAGGGAGAAACUUAGGGGAAAACCAGGAGCUCUGACACAAUGCUGAGAAAUUAGAAUCAACAAGAAAUAUUUAUUUCAUACUUCAGGUGCCCGUGAAGUUUUGUUGCCAGUUGGCAUCUCAAACAUAAUAAUACCAAGCUGGAAAUGUGAGCUAUAGAGCAGUCAAAUUUUGGUGAGGUCAAGAAAGAAAAUAAGAGCCGGAUGAGGGCUUAUGUCUGAUGCUAUGCCAAAAGCCAAAAGACUGUGCAAGCACUGAGGCAAUCUUCUUCCUAUAAAUGGAUAUAUAAAGUUUUUCAGUAGAGAAAAAGAAAGAAGAAAACAACUGAAAAACAUGCCCAUGAAGUCACAAAAUUGAACAAAUGAUGUUUCUCAGAUAGCCUGGGACAAAUCUCUACAAUUCAUUUGACACUGUUAUCAAAUUGAAUUGCUUACUUCACCUGUUUUUAGUCUCUUGUGCUAUUCAGCCUUAUUGUUCCAGUCUGAAGACCUUCUGUUUUCUAUGAAAAAAUUAACAAAAUCACACAUAAUUUCAUUAUUGUAAUUAAAGGACUAUGCUGUUCUUCCC
rnacentral:lncRNA from 1 species